GUCCAACCUUUAUUGUAUAUCCCUUUCUCAUGCUUUCUCUCUCUAUGCCCUCUCGGGUUCUCUCUCCCUUUAUCUUGCAGGAACCUUUCAUAUCCAAGAGAAAUGGUUCAUAAUUCAUACUAAUCAAAGGUAGUCUCCCAAAUAAGUUUUAAAGUUUUUAUCUUGAUAGGGAUAAAAAAACUUAGGUUAUUCAAUCCAUAGUGUCUGCAAUAAUUUGUUUGUGAUUUUGAUUUUGGAAUGUUUUUUGAUUACCAAACUUUCUUAAUGGUCUGAUGAUAGUUAUUGAAAGAAUCCAUAGUAUUUACUACAAUUUCAAGAAUCGAAGGAGUUAUUUAAUUGAGAUGUAAUAUUUGAUUUGAAAUUUGUUACUUUAUAUAAACAUUUUCGGUGUUUCUUUGGGAUCGACAAUGUUUAACCUUAAAUUUUAAUUUCCAUUGAUUUUCAUUUAUUAACCAAUUGAAUCUAGUUUAUGAAAAAAAAAAUCACGGCAUAGGCAUACUGCUAAUCAAGUCGGCGAUGUUGCAUCCCUAGAAAAAUUUCCUUAAAAAGAAGAAGAAGAUUUGCAGGAGAAGGAGAAGAUUUGCAUGAAGUUUUGUUUCCCCUAAAAUUAUGUCUUUUUUUCUAUAUGAUGCAUCAUUAUCUAAUGUAUUGAGAAAAUUAAUUUAAUGUGCUAAAUUUAUAUCUGAAUAAAAUCAAUAUAGCAAAUGAGAGAGUUUUUCUCUUAUGAAUUUUUCAUCUCUUA